UUAGAAGAACAGGAAUUGAACCUGCACAUAAAGACUCAAAAUCUUCAGAACUCCCUUAUUCUACCUCCUA
rnacentral:tRNA from 1 species